AAAUGGCCAGGGGGAGAGGAAAAAAGGGAGGCUGCACAUAGACUGGCAUACAUGAUUAAGCAUAGAUUGACAAGAUAUGAUAUGCCACAAAUAGAUGAGAACAACAAUAAAGUAGAAUGUAGCCAUAUUUGUCACCAAACUCUCUGUGUCAAUCCUGAACACAUAACUAUUGAACCUCAUGCUAUAAAUCAAGACCGCCUACAUUGUAAAAAUCAGGGCCAUUGCUCUAAAAGUCACAAGCCAUAUUGUUUAAUAUGUAAUUUAAUAAAUAAAUAUUUAUUUUCUAACAGAUCUUAUUCUCUUUCGGUCAUUUCUGCUGUAUGAAUGGUCACUAUGUUUCUGCGGAGUAGAUUUCAGUCCUUGAUCACAUUUUAGCAACAUAUUUUUUUCAUAUUCUAUUAUUUCACUUAGUUUUUCAUACAGUUUGUACAGUUUAGCCCUUUUAUCACUUCUAAAUUGCUUGUAUUGCAUAGUCUUUUUGUGCUGUUUUUGUAAAAUGUCAACUUUUUGUAUUUCUUUUAGAGCCUUGUAUGCAGAGCCUCCCACUGGGACUUCACAAUGAAGAGCAGUACAAAGUUCUAGAACUGAUUCUCCUGGACCAAAAUUAACACUGUGAGCAGCUGAAUGAGCACGACCGCAGGAUUCCUGUUUUUUUUGGGAACAGAGACCUCAUCAGACUUUGGUCGCAGUAGUUUGGCCGCACGAGCAGACCGCCUGGCUUUUUCCUCUGGAUCAGUGUAUGGAUCAUUAACUACUAAAUUGUACUUUUUCAUGAGCCUUGUAUGCAGAGCCUCCCACUGGGACUUCACAAUGAAGAGCAGUACAAAGUUCUAGAACUGAUUCUCCUGGACCAAAAUUAACACUGUGAGCAGCUGAAUGAGCACGACCGCAGGAUUCCUGUUUUUUUUGGGAACAGAGACCUCAUCAGACUUUGGUCGCAGUAGUUUGGCCGCACGAGCAGACCGCCUGGCUUUUUCCUCUGGAUCAGUGUAUGGAUCAUUUACUACUAAAUUGUACUUUUUCAUGGUAAGUCUUGUAUAUUUAGGUGUGUCAUAGUCACUUUUCACUGGCAAUAGUUUAGUCCUUUUUUUGUUAUGAGGUAUACUUCCAGCCUUAAAUUUAAAGAUAUUUCCUUUUUUGAACCCAGACAUAUUGGAAUUGUACAGUUUUCACUUUAAUUUUUUAGUGUUUGUAAAGUUUUUAUAUACCCUUGUAAAGUAGGACACUAUUUUAUCUUUUUGCAAUACAAGUUGAAUGGAAAGUUCAUUCAGUAAUUAAAAAUAUUUGAGAUUGAGCACAUGCCUCCCUCAGAAUUUGACAAAUUCUCUAAACAGGCCAUAUGAUAAACUUUGGAUUUUUUUAUAGCCACUAUGAAGACAACCACUUUUAAUUGCUAUCAUUCCUGUAUCUCUUAUCUUCAGUAAUAAAAAUAUAAAUGAUAACGAUCCAGAGUGCAU